CGCGGAAGAUGUAACGGGGCUAAAACUAUAUGCCGAAGCUGCGGAUUUGCAAUUUAUUGCAAGUGGUAGGGGAGCGUUCUGUAAGCCGAUGAAGGUGUAUUGAGAAGUAUGCUGGAGGUAUCAGAAGUGCGAAUGCUGACAUGAGUAGCGAUAAAGGGGGUGAAAAGCCCCCUCGCCGUAAGCGCAAGGUUUCCUACGCAACGUUCAUCGGCGUAGGGUGAGUCGGCCCCUAAGGCGAGGCAGAGAUGCGUAGCUGAUGGGAAGCAGGUUAAUAUUCCUGCACCUCGCGUAAGUGCGAUGGAGGGACGGAGAAGGUUAGGUGUACCCGGCGUUGGUUGUCCGGGGGAAAGGCGGUAGGUUUGGAUCUUUGGCAAAUCCGGGAUCCUUUAAGACCGAGCACCGAGACGAGCCUUUAAGGCGAAGUCACUGAUACCACGCUUCCAGGAAAAGCUCCUAAGCUUCAGCUUACGCAGACCGUACCGUAAACCGACACAGGUGGAUGAGGAGAGAAUC
rnacentral:rRNA from 1 species